UCUGUUGUACUAGCAAUGCGAUGCCUAUGCUCAACACAAUUGGCCAAUCGAUACAAGGCAUCUCUUAUGCGAGCUUUGGAUGCCACUAUACCUGAUUCAUGCCUUCCUGAAGCUUAUGGAAGCCAAGAUCCUUAACUGGCACAGCUUCUAGAAUCAGUGGUGAGCAAGGGUUCACACAUAAGUCUGCUGAAGUCUUUCCCUUCGAGAGGAACUGUAAGUCUGCACUUUUCAGAACAUCGUCACCUGCAAAUCCUUCAGGAAACUGGUGUGUUUGUGUCAAAGUAACGUUAUUCAGAUGUUCUGGGUGUUCAUAUGCAGUCAAUGAUGGAGGGAAAUACAUCUCUAGUGGAUUUCCAGCCAUUUCGUCGAGGAUCAUGUCUGGAGUUCCAUUCAGUGGAUCAUGAGAUCUCUUCAUCGAACGCGGAACGUAGGUUGCAACGAGAUCCGGUGCUGAGAAAGUCGAUGAAGAUACAAUUUCAUCAUCACACAUGAUGCUUGAUGUUGUUGGGGCUAGCAUUUCCUGAUUUGUGCAAAAGAUAGCCUCUAGUCCCUCACAGCCACUUAUGCGUUCCGAGCUUGUUACAUUGUCAAAUGGGUAGAAAACAUCAACAUCUGAAUGUUGUGAAAAUCGCUCGAUUUCCCCGGAAGAACAGGCAAGUGCUUCAUGAUUCAAAACUUUGUUGUGCUCUCAUUCGAAACAGUUGACAAAUUGGUAUUGUCCAAGAGACAGCUGCUUGGUACUAGCUGGGCAUCUGGUAAGCAAACUGAAGACCACAGUGGAUCUUCAAAGUGAUUACUUCCUAUCUCAAACGCAGCAAGAGAUUACCUCAGAUCUGCUUCGAGGUCAUCCAAGUUGAGCAGUUCAGACCAAUCACAGUAUAACAAAUCUUUCCCUUUGUUCCUGUGCUCAUC
rnacentral:sRNA from 1 species